rnacentral:rRNA from 1 species
GAGUUUGAUCGUGGCUCAGAUUGAACGCUGGCGGCAGGCUUAACACAUGCAAGUCGAGCGGAGAUGAGGUGCUUGCACCUUAUCUCAGCGGCGGACGGGUGAGUAAUGCUUAGGAAUCUGCCUAUUAGUGGGGGACAACAUUCCGAGAGGAAUGCUAAUACCGCAUACGUCCUACGGGAGAAAGCAGGGGAUCUUCGGACCUUGCGCUAAUAGAUGAGCCUAAGUCGGAUUAGCUGGUUGGUGGGGUAAAGGCCUACCAAGGCGACGAUCUGUAGCGGGUCUGAGAGGAUGAUCCGCCACACUGGGACUGAGACACGGCCCAGACUCCUACGGGAGGCAGCAGUGGGGAAUAUUGGACAAUGGGGGGAACCCUGGAUCCAGCCAUGCCGCGUGUGUGAAGAAGGCCUUAUGGUUGUAAAGCACUUUAAGCGAGGAGGUGGCUACUGAGACUAAUACUCUUGGAUAGUGGACGUUACUCGCAGAAUAAGCACCGGCUAACUCUGUCG